UUCUCUCUUCUGCUCUGCGUAUGUUCAGGCGAUAAAACUAGGGUUUAGAUAACUUUCAAUCAUCGAUCGUAUUAGCCGAGAAACAUCACAUAAAUCUCUUUAAUCUUCUCAAUACCUUUCAAUCAUCGAUCUGUAACUUGUCGAUCGAUAGGGAGUUUAAGGGUGAGAGAAAUAGAUUUCUUAUGUUCUUACUGAUUGAAGAUUGGAAGUUGUCUUGUAUGAUUAGGUGUCCCAGGAUUUCAGUUGGCGGACUACGAAGAUUGAGGUUUGAGUAGCUGGAGUUGAGGUCUUACUCCAUAUACAUGGCUGCAUUUGCGUGCGUUGAUUUUCUUUGAUGGACAUCAUUAGCUUCACUUGAUAGAUGUUUACAUACUAUCUUGUUGUUCUAUAUCCUCAGAAGUUUUGGAGCUUCUGAGACCAUCUACUAGAUAUACAGUGUCAAAAGAUGCUGGCGAUUUUAGUGAUCGUGAAAAAGGUAGAUAUACCUUGAUCAAAGAUUCAGAUGACCACCCUCUAGGAUUUUAUGAUAAACCGCUUCCGUGUUUUGGCUGUGGGAUUGGAUGGUUCUCGAUUGCAUUUAUCAGUUGGCUCGAACGUGCCCAACACCUCAAGAGAUGUAGCCUCGCAUACUCCAUGCGGUGUUUCCGCUUCACCUCAAAUAGGUUCACAUGCUGCGACAAGUUCACCUGUUGGGAAUAUUAUAUCACCAGCUGCGUCAAGUUCACCUGUUGGGAGUACUCAAUCACCAGCUUCAUCAAGAGUACGUGGUUUUCCUCUUUGUUCGUUACUGGACUACGAGGGUGAAGUAGUUGCAACUGGUGAGCUAUGUACUGGUUAUUUAUCUAAUCAGUUUCAUGGAGAUCCUAUACCUAUACAUCUUGCCAAGACUUUGCGAGUUGCCUGGCUCAGCUGACGAUAAUUUUUAUGAGAAGCUUCUAAUAUCUGGUCUCAAAGUGGAUGGGCUAGAAUGAGAAUCUUGUUUCCAACCUUUUCCAGUGGAUUGCCUACUGCCUACAUCGAGUUUUUUGAUGCCCAAGCUUUCAACAAACCAAGCCUGCAAAGGAUAUAUAGCUUAGUUGUGGUUAAUCGAAUGAUGCUCUAUUUGAUCAGAAAGGGUGGAGAACAAAGCAGCUUCAAGAUUUGUAAGUUGCAGUUAUUCAAGUUUUGUAGGCAGUUAGUUUCUGUUUUCCAUUAGAAAUUUGGAAC